UGGGGAAUUUUGGACAAUGGGGGAAACCCUGAUCCAGCCAUGCCGCGUGUGUGAAGAAGGCCUUCGGGUUGUAAAGCACUUUCGGACGGAACGAAAUCGCACGGGUGAAUAUCCCGUGUGGAUGACGGUACCGUAAGAAGAAGCACCGGCUAACUACGUGCCAGCAGCCGCGGUAAUACGUAGGGUGCGAGCGUUAAUCGGAAUUACUGGGCGUAAAGUGUGCGCAGGCGGCUUCGCAAGUCGAGUGUGAAAUCCCCGGGCUUAACUUGGGAACGGCGCUCGAAACUACGGAGCUAGAGUAUGGCAGAGGGAGGUGGAAUUCCACGUGUAGCGGUGAAAUGCGUAGAGAUGUGGAGGAACACCAAUGGCGAAGGCAGCCUCCUGGGCCAAUACUGACGCUCAUGCACGAAAGCGUGGGGAGCAAACAGGAUUAGAUACCCUAGUAGUCCCUGAGCGGGCUGGCAAGGCGCAU
rnacentral:rRNA from 1 species